ACUCCUACGGGAGGCAGCAGUGGGGAAUAUUGCACAAUGGGCGCAAGCCUGAUGCAGCCAUGCCGCGUGUGUGAAGAAGGCCUUCGGGUUGUAAAGCACUUUCAGUCGUGAGGAAGGUAGUGUAGUUAAUAGCUGCAUUAUUUGUACGUUAGCGACAGAAGAAGCACCGGCUAACUCCGUGCCAGCAGCCGCGGUAAGUACGGAGGGUGCGAGCGUUAAUCGGAAUUACUGGGCGUAAAGCGCAUGCAGGUGGUUUGUUAAGUCAGAUGUGAAAGCCCGGGCGUCAACCUCGGAAUAGCAUUUGAAACUGGCAGACUAGAGUACUGUAGAGGGGGUAGAAUUUCAGGUGUAGCGGUGAAAUGCGUAGAGAUCUGAAGGAAUACCGGUGGCGAAGGCGGCCCCUGGACAGAUACUGACACUCAGAUGCGAAAGCGUGGGAGC
rnacentral:rRNA from 1 species